UCCUCCCCGACGCGCCGCAAAUAGAUCUGCGCCUUUCUCAAGGCUGUGAAGGGUCUUAUAGAGCCGACGCCGUUCUCAUUAGUCAACGGCGGGCCUCUCCCGUUCGGGAUUGGCUGGGAGAUGAUGAGCUCAGGCCACCGAACGGGCGGGGGCGUUUCCUCUGGCCAGGAAUCCCUCCUGAACGGCAAAGCCAGCGGUGAGAGCGACCCCAUUCAAAGCGUCAUUCCAGUCUGCACCCAGGGCACGUCUUGGAGCCGCGGUUCUCAGCCUUCCGCCACUCCUUAAUCCACUUCCUCAUGUUGGGGUGACCCCCACCAACCAUGACAUUAUUUCCAUUGCUACUUCACAACUAUAAUUUUGCUACUGCAGGAGUCUGCUGUGGAUAAGUCUACAUAGCUAAGGUUGGCAGAAGCUGGGGCUAACAGCGGGCGCUCCUCGGAUUCGAAUCUGCAACCUUUUGAUCAGCAAGUUCAGCAGCUCAGCACUCCAACACACUGCACCAGCGGGUGCUCCAAUUCUACAUAGGUAAAGGUAAAGGUUUUCCCCUGACAUUAAGUCCAGUCCUGUCCGACUCUGGGGGUUGGUGCUCAUCUCCAUUUCUAAGCCGAAGAGCCGGCGUUGUCCGUAGACACCUCCAAGGCCAUGUGGCCGGCAUGACUGCAUGGAGCAUUACCUUCCUGCCAGAGCGGUACCUAUUGAUCUACUCACAUUUGCAUGUUUUUGAACUGCUAGGUUGGCAGAAGCUGGGGCUAACAGCGGGUGCUCACUCCCCUCUUCAGAUUCGAACCUAUGACCUUUUGGUCAGCAAGUUCAGCAGCUCAGCGCUUUAACACGCUGUGCCACCGGGUGCUCCAAUUCUAUAUAGAGACCACCAAACACAGCAUUGCCCAAACACAAAUCAAGGAAGGUACUGUGUCUGCGGACUAACUCAACCAAAGAAGUCAGUCAUAGCAGAGCACUGGACACAAAAUAUGAUUUGAGAACACAGAAAUGCUGGACUCUCACAACCACCAUGUCAGACAGAAGAGCCAUUGAAAUCCACAAGCAUGUGGACAUUUUCAACAGAAAGGAGGAAACCAUGAAAAUGAACAAAAUCUAGCUACCAGUAUUUUAAAAACCCUCUAAAAUCAGGACAGUAAAUAAAGAACAACACUCUGAAAACAGAGGAAUUACAUACCUGAAUCAAUCAGGGGCAGCUAACACCUUCAAACAAAGGAUUUCCCCCAGGCAGGAAUGACGCUGGUAAGGCCAUGAAUGCUAAUCAAGGCGAUUAAUUACAACAUUCACACUGGCCUCCAAGUGACAAGAGUCCUUUCUCCCACUAUGGACCUUCCACAGAUAUACAAACCUCCCUUGCUUAGUUUUCCAAUAUACAGUAGAGUCUCACUUAUCCAACAUAAACAGAUCGGCAGAACGCUGGAUAAACGAAAAUGUUGGAUAAUAAGGAGGGAUUAAGGAAAAGCCUAUUAAACAUUGAAUUACAUUAUGAUUUUACAAAUUAAGCACCAAAACAUCAUGUUUUACAACAAAUCGACAGAAAAUGCAGUUCAAUACAUGGUAACGUUAUGUAGUAAUUACGGUAUUUACGAAUUUAGCACCAAAACAUCACAAUGUAUUGAAAACAUUGACUCCAAAAACACUGACUACUAAAAGGCAGAGUGCAUUGGAUAAUCCAGAAUGUUGGAUAAGUGAAGGUUGGAUAAGCGAGACUCUACUGUACCUCACAACCUCUGAGGAUGCCUGCCAUAGAUGUGGGUGAAACAUCAGGAAUAAUGCUUCUGGAACAUGGCCAUACAGCCCAGAAAACUCAAAGCAACCCAAUUUUGCUACUGUUAUGAAUCUUAAUGUAAAUAUCUGAUAUGCAGGAUAUAUUUUCAUUCACUGGACCAAAUUUAGCACAGAUACCCGAUACGCCCAAAUUUGAAUACUUGUGGGGGGAAGAUUUUGUCAUCUGGGAGUUGUAGUUGCUGAGAUUUAUCAUUCACCUACAAUCAAAAAGCAUUCUGAACUCCCCCAGUGAUGAAUCUGAACUAAACUUGGCACACAGAACUCUCAUGACCAGCAGGAAAUACUGGAAGAGUUUGGUGGGCAUUGGCCUUGAGUUUUGGAGUUGUAGUUCACCUACAUCCAGAAAGCACUGUGGAGUCAAACAAUGAUGGAUCUGGACAAAAUUUGGCACAAAUACUCAAAGAGCCCCUUGAAUCCCACCAACGAUAGAAUUGGGCCAAACUUUCCACACAGACUGCCAUGACCAACAGAAAAUACUGGUCUUUGGCAACCCCUCUGACACCCCCUCACGACCCCACAGGGGUCCCGACCCCCAGAUUGAGAAACGCUGCUGUAGAGAUCUCUUGAAACAUACAGUAUGGCCUUAUUUAGGCAGAAAUCCAGAUCGAAAGAAGAAAAGGGCAAAAGGGUCAGUCUGAGCUCUCUCUCUGCUGGUGCAUCUGAAGUGUGUAGAAUGGGAUCGUGGAAGUUGUAAUUUGGUGAGGCACCAACAAAUUUUAUGGCAGAAAAGGCUAAAGACCUUGAGCAGCGACAACUCCCAGGAUUCCAUAGCACUGAGCCAUGGCAGUGAAAGCCAUAUCAAACUGUAUUAAUUCUACAAUGUACAUGGACUCUGAGAUUAAGGCAUUAAAACGCACUGGCUUCUUUCUUUCUUUCUUUCCUGUUUUUUCAGCUGCAGCCACUUCCAGCCUCACAAAGAGAAUCCAAAUUGCUAAUACUUGACAAGAGGUAAAUGUCCAGAAGAGAACUGGAGGAGAUAUGGUAUGUCUGCAGAACAGAUGCCUUUACAGCAAAAUGCAUAUGUGCCAAGCGAAUGACUGUGUCAGAAAGUGGAGGACUUUCCUUCUUCGGAGAUUCUCCAUCCAUAGAUUCAAUGAUCCUUUGAUGGCAGCCAUAAGACUGAUGUGGCCCUCGAUGAAAAUGAGGUUGACACCACUGAUUUAGACAUCCACACUGUAGCCUAAAACCGUAGAGAUGAUUCAUGCUGAUGCUAUGAAAAGACGGUCAGGUUAGGUUUUUGACUUCAUGUCUUUCCCAUAUCUGAUGUUGAUGAAGAGGCAUCUGAUGUUGAUGAAGAGGGUGUUGUGUGGUUUCUGGGUUGUAUGUCUGUGUUCUAGCAGCAUUUUCUCCUGAUGUUUUGCCUGUGUCUGUGGCUGGCAUCUUCAGAGGACACACAUGCAGGUGAAACUUCAGGAGAAAAUGCUGCUUGAACACGGCCAUACAGCCCAUAAACCACACAACAUCCCAGUGAUUCCAGCCAUGAAAGCCUUCAACAAUCAUGGUUUCCCUUUUAUGGCAUAUAAAAACUGCAUGAGUUAGGAAGGAUGUUGUGGAAGAACCUCCUCAAUCCUCCUCACAACUCUUACUUUUCUCCUAUGGUUCCUGUGUCUUUUUCUCACCAGAGCUUUACUCAUGAGUUGAACAAUACAAAAUAUUUGUUAUAUGCUACUUCUCUUUAAUCUAAGCAACUUUUGGCCUUUCAAGUGGGGCUGGACUGCAACUCACAUUAUUUCGAAUAGCUGGCAAUGCUGCCUGGAGCUCGUGAGAGUUGUGCUUCAACAUCUGGAAAACAUAGUUUGCUGCCUCCACUACUGCUGAGCUCAGGGGCAUUGUGUUCUUUGCAUUAAACUGUUCUUAUUUAAUCUACUCUUCUGUUAAAUAGCUUAAUAAAUGGAGCGAGAUCUUUGUUUUUGGCUGGAAUCUUCAUCAUGUGUUUGCUCUCAAAGGGAUGGAUGGGGAGAGGUUUCCUUGGUUCACAGGCAAAGAUGUUGAGUGGGAUGGAGAGCUUAAAAGAACCAAAUUCCAGGCAAAAAAAAAGUUAUGGUCCUCAUCAGGAAGACCGUUCAUUAAAGAAACAUAUUCUUGGAUAGAAAUAGCCUGAUUUAUUUUUGUUAACUUAAGACUCCAUCUACACUGGCCAUUUAAUGCAGUGUCAAACCAGUAUUGAAGAAAGUGGUUUCUCUGUACAGAUUAUUACAUAGGAAAUCCUGGAAGCAAUUUGGAGUCCAAAUGGUGAUUACACAAACUAUUGUUUGUGUAGUCAGAAUUUGGAUUUAAUGCACAUCAAAACAUUGGAGUGCAUUAAGGACUUUCUUUAGUGCUCUUUUGUGGGAGUUUGUUGUCUGGCCACCAUAAUAUGGAACCAGUUUUGAACUGCAUUGUAGUCAGUAUAAGAUGGAGUAUUUGCCAUAUAUUCCUUUGUAAAUUAACAUACUGUCCACUUUCAUAAAUUACAUGAUCCCAAAAUCUAAAAUACAGGAAUGUUCAGUCGAUAUAUACAGGAGGGUUCGGUCUAUAUAAAAAGAAAGGUUUGCCGUUGCCUUUUUCUGGAAUAUAGAUUACAGCACCUUGUGUUCAUUGGCAGUUCAAAUGGGGGCUUCUUUAUAAUGGGUACUAACCAGCCCUGUAAGAUAUGCAUUCUGUUGGAAAUGACAGCCUUCAUCAAGCAUUCUCUAGCAAUCUGUUUGUCUAUGAUCUUGUUGCUUACUGUUUCCUGUAUGUGUGCAGCAUCCUUUACUGUAUGUUUUCUGAGAAGUUAUAAACGGGGCUGCAGACUACGUGCUCUUACUUCAUUUUUGUCUCUUGACUGCAUGAUAUGAAACAAGUUAUUUUAUGGAAGAGUGCCUUUUAGGCACUUAAAAGCACUUCUAAAGCUCUGCUGUUUUUUAUGCACUGGCAAAUCUCUUUUUCCUAACAGAUUGGAGAUUGCUGGUUAUUCAGUCUAACAACUGAAACCAUUGCCUAGCAUAAUUAUAUUUGGUUGUAUACUACAAGAGGAGAUUCUGCUCUAAAGGGUUUUUUUUGGCUCAUUUGUAAAAGGUUAUGUUAUCUAAUAUUUUCUGGUCCUCAAAUAAGAAACAUCCCUUACAAGAAAGGACACCUAGCAACUAUAAACAAAAUAGAAUGCAGCUUCAAGAGCUGAGCACAUACUUUGGAUGCAGAGUAUUCCAGAUCCAGUUCUUGGCAUCUCUAUAGAGUAAUGUAAAAUACUACUGUCUAAAGCUUUAUAAAGAAGCAUUGCAACUCAAUGUAAAAAUAUAGAUAUUGGUAGAACAAUAGCCUACCUAAGUGCAGACCUUUAAAAAAUUACCUUUUAAGAGCUACAGUGUCCAGAAUUUUCCAGUCAGCAAGGCCAAUGAUGCUGUGCACUGUGCCAUACUGUGUUUUGUAUUCCCAAAUAAAUGCACAUAACAUGGCAAUGAUUUUAUUUUCAUAUUUAUUUAUUUACUUAUAUAUUUAUAUACAUUGAAAGGGGUCAUAAUCCAUUAAAUUUCAAGUGAUUUCACAAUGUUCUAGAAUGGCUAAUAAAACUGUUCUGACCAUAUAAGCAAAGUGUGCAAUGAAAAAAAAGUGGCAUUUCUCCACCUGCUUGUGAUUGUUGUUAAUCAGUGGUACUUUAAUAACACUCUUUGAUUAUAGUGAUGCUGCAGCUAAAGUAUUUUGAAGGAUUUUUAGUUUCUCCCACAAGUAAUACAUUACCACAUGAAAACAUAUAUACAUAUUUAGGGGCAUGUGACCCAAUUAAAAGCUAAUGUUCUCUCUUCUUUAAUAGUUUCUGAGAAAUAUUUAAUACACAACAGUGUAAGCAUUAUUUAUAUAUACCAGUAUAUAAUCCACAGCAAUGUUAACUAGGUAAUUGUAUAAGCAUGGCAAGAACUGCAAAAAUUGAAUACAGUUGGCCCUCCAUAUCAAUGGAUUCAGCAAUCACAGAUUCAUCCACCAAUGGCUUGAAAAUAUCUCCCCCACAUAAUUUCCCCACAAAAAAACAUAAAUUUUGAUUUUGUCAUUUUAUAUAUGGUACACCAUUUUAUCAUGCCAUCAUGUGUAAAGGGAUUUGAAUAUCCGUGGAUUAUGGGAUCCGCAUGGGAUCCUGGAACAAUACUUCAACUGAUACCAAGGGGAAGCUGUAUUUGCAUUUUUGAUUAGCCAUUGAAAGUACCAAAUGUUAACUAUACUGCAUGUGCUUUGCCAGUCAUUCUAUUAAGGUAUAUCAGACAUUUUGUUGGCCCUUCGGGUCACUUCUACUAAGUAAAUAGAACCAAAGGAGAACUAAAAUAAGAUAAAGAGACUGCAAAUAACUGGAAUGAAUGCUUUAUAUUUAUAUUAUAAAAGACAUACAGUGUAUAUGUGUCUUUUUUUUUCAAAUCCCUUGUUGACUUAUGGUGAUCCUAUUAAUAUUAUAGGGCUUUCUUAGGCAAGGAAUACUCAGAGAUGGUUUGCCAUUGCCUUUCUCUGAAAUAUAGAUGAAAGCACCUUGUAUUCAUUGGCAGUGCAAAUACUAACCAGGGCUGACCUCUUUAACUUUCAAAGUCAGGUAGGAAUCUGGUGCGGUUUUGAGAAUUUAGGCCCAGGCCUAAAAUGACAUUUUUCAUGAGGAUUCCAAGGCAGUGGUAGAAAUAUUGGUCACAAGAUUCCAAACUAAAAUUCUAAUUUUCAUUUAAAAUUGAAAAAAAAAUGUCCAUCAGCCUGUGGACUUCUCAAUGAACCUCAGAUGAGAAGCUGCUAAUCUUUUGUAUGAAUGCCCUCAAACCAGAAUACUGCAAAUACUGAAUACUGACUUCUGUGUAUUAUUAUAUUCCUUCCUCUUCUGCACAUCUCCUCAGAAGAAACAGCAGGAUCAAACUUGUUCAAUCUGAUUGUAGCUCCAGGAAUGAAAGCCACCAGACAAGUUCCAUCAUCUCCUCCCUAUUAUCUCAUGACUAACUGUCUCCCAGUGUUGAGUUUCUCCAGCUAAGCUACUCAGGUAGUCUUUUAAUACUUGCCAUUUUCUUUUAAAACCUUUCAGCAGUUAGAAUCCAGAAAAAUGGACCUCUAGUUAACCUCUCAUCAUGCAAAGGCGCUGCUAUUUUUAAUGUGUCCAAAGCCAAGAGGGAAAAAAGGACCUGGUCUCAUGGGUUGCAAAUGCAUGGUAUUUUUAAAGAGGUUGGUUGGGAAUGGAAACCAAGUACACAUGCCCAUUUUCAGAAAAAAGAAGCCAAGUCCUGAGUACUGGUAUGUGUGCUAUGUAAUGAGCCACAACAUUCUUGCUAAAUGCUUUGCACCACUACCUGCUACCUGAGGGGCUAUUGUGAUAUUGUGACAGUGCUGGGUGUCUGCACUCUAGGAUUGUAUCAGCUCUUCACACAGUACAAAGUUGGAUGACCGAAUUCACUACCCCAGGAUGUAGCAAUGCUCACCAAUGUGAAUGGAUUUAAAAGGAGACUAGAUAAAUUUGGUUGUUGGGGAACAUGAGCUGUCCUGCUUAUGGGCUUCGCAUAGACCUCUGACUGCCAAUGAAAGCGAAUAUUGGAUAGCAUAGACCAGUGGUUCUCAACCUGUGGGUCCCCAGAUGUUUUGGCCUUCAACUCCAUGAGAUCCUAACAGCUGGCUGGGAAUUGUAGGCCAAAACACCUGAGGACCUACAGGUUGAGAACCACUGGCACAGACCUUUGGUAUCAUUCAUGUAGCUUCUUCUAAUAUCAGCUGUAGGCUACACAUUAAUUAGAAAUGGAUUUUGGAUAAAACAAAUUUCAACCUUUGCAGAUGUUUGUCUCUAUCAGUGAGCUUUGAAUGCAAACACUCAGUAUGACAUGUUAUUAUUAACUUGUCUUUGAUUUUAUUGCCAAUUACUUAUCUGUUGUCUUCAAAGCCCUAUAGAUGAAAAACACCACACAGGUAAAGAUGACUUAUGGAUCAUAGCCAUUAAGUCAAAGAGUGGAAUCAUGUGACCUCUUGAUGUUAAACUGCAAUUUUCAGGAAUCCUAAGUGAUAUAGCCAAUAAUGAGGAAACAUUAUUUUCGUCCCUCUGUUAAGAAGAGGUUGCUUUAAAUUAAAGGUCAUACUCUGUGGUGGCUAACUGUAUGUUGCAUGCCACUCCUUUGUGGUGGCUUAUCAUACAGAAUGGAAAUUAUUUUUCCCAUUAGUACAAACAUUAAUUCUUGGUAGUGCACAGAAAACUACUUAUCUGUUUAUUGAUAUCAUGGGAGCCAUUUAAAGCAGGCUAAUAGCUAUUAAAUAAACAUCACUGAGGUAGGCGACAUUAAUAGAUUAGCCUCAAAUCAUUAAAGGCAUUUUUCAAAAUUGAUAUGUUUGAUAGUUUGUUAAUUAUUACUAUUUAGAAAUGCAUUUAAAAUUACUAAAAAUGUUCUUGAAUUGAAAUAAUGGAAAAGUUAAAUGUUACUUUGAAAUAAUUAGUAGUCUGUUUCAAAAAUUUGUUGAAAUUACAAAUUAGGAUAACUAGUUAUUUUCAGUGAGUUACUUCCAAGCUCUAAGAUUGACCAGUUUCAAAAUAUAUCAAAGCAUCACUAACUAAGAAUAUUUGGUAGAAAAUAAGCUUUUUGUAUUCAAGAGUGCAUUUUCUGGUUAACUGCCAUAUUUACAAUACUUCGACAUUACUUAUUUUUAAAGAAGCAACUUAACAUGCCAGUCUUCCUUCUGUUGUUCUCUAAUGUAUCUUUGCCUUUUUCUUUUUGAAGACAAGUUGACCCUUCUGCAAAUAAUUGCAAUAGACAUACCAACUCAAAAGUGCAAAUCAGUGGAUGUGUUAUACAGAGAACACAUUUCUUUAAAUAUCUGUGUCACAGGUAUUUCAUCCAAAUCGCAGUCACUGCAGAAAUACCAAGGGGAGCCGAACGGAACAAGAUGCUUGGAGCGUUGUUGCAGAAAUCUCUGUGGCAGCAAAGGAAUCGAAAACUGUCAGCAU